GCAACUCAGAAAUAAACUUCAAAAAAAGUUUAUUCAUAACAAAUUAAGAAAUAAUUUUAAGUCAUUUAUUCCAACUUAACUCAUGCUUUAGAAUUCUUACUGAAUAAGCAUUUAACAUUCUAUUCCUUUGGUAGAAAUACAGUUUUUACAACAAACAAAAAACCUAAAAUAUUCAGCAAAAUCAGAAUCCAUAUAUCUUCAAAAAUUUACAGUUUAUGGCAUUAUAUUCUCCAUUUAUAAAAAUGGCAUAUAAAGUACCCUAGAAAUUCUAGAAAGUACAGCUCCAUAUGAUAUACAAUGCCCCAACAAUAACUUUUUGUCUAUUUAAGUUAUAGUCUUCUUGCUACUUCUUACUACUAUGUGAACAAGACACACAGAAUUUGGCUUCCAAACAUCUAAAUAAAACAGAAAGCACUGAGAAAAAUCGUUUUUGUAUAAAAUCUGUGCAUAGAGAAAGUUAUUUCUUU
rnacentral:lncRNA from 1 species